UGCUUGCUUCAGCAGCAAUAGACUAAAAUUGGAAUCAUACAAAGAAGAUAAGUAUGGCCCCUGUGCUAGAUGACAUGCAAAUUUGUGAAAACACUCAAUAUUAA
rnacentral:snRNA from 1 species